CCUUGUUUUAAUACCGCGGUAUCAAAUUAUAAGGCAAACCAACAAGAAAUGCAUGUACACAAGCAGAAAAUUUCUCCUUUUUUUAAUUCAAUUUUCUUUAAAUUUUUAUGAAGAGCUUAUCAUCACACGUACCAGUUAACAUUAUCACCCAAGAUCAAGAAUGGGGACUCCAUGAAAGAUGUAACUUCGAAAGGAAA